rnacentral:rRNA from 1 species
UACGUAGGGGCCGAGCGUUGUCCGGAGUUAUUGGGCGUAAAGCGCGCGCAGGCGGCUUCGCGCGCCCGACGUGAAAGCCCCCGGCUUAACCGGGGAGAGUCGUUGGGGACGGCGGGGCUUGAGGGCGGGAGAGGUCGGUGGAAUUCCCGGUGUAGUGGUGAAAUGCGUAGAGAUCGGGAGGAACACCUGUGGCGAAGGCGAGUCCCUGGACAACACCUGACACUGAGGCACGAAAGCCGGGGGAGCAAACAGG